UGCAUUUGUUGACGGUCCAUAUCAAACAUGAACAGAACAAAGGCAUUCAAGUCGGAAUCUACUUUUUUUUCAUGAGAAAAUAUGUUCCCAACAUAAACGUGUGACAACACACGCAACAAAUUGCAACCACAUGUUGCCCAAAAACUGUUUCUAACACGAAACUGCAGCAUACAGUACAGGUAUGUGAACCAAAUAUCACAAAGUUCAGACGAGUUGCUGCAAAAUGAGACGAGUCAGAGACCCGGUGGCUUUUCUUUCCACUCACUCGCUGUCUCAAACUUGAUCAGCUGAUGUCUUAGCGGAAGGUUUUUAGCACCAAAACAGGUAAAGCAUUCGAGCAAACGUUCAUUGACUCGACUCUCCGUCGAGCCGCUCGCAAUUCACUCUGAGCAGGGAAAUUGGCAGAAUUUCUUGUCGAUUUGAGUCUUUG